UACGGGGGGAGCAAGCGUUGUUCGGAUUUACUGGGCGUAAAGGGCGCGUAGGCGGCCACCGCAAGUCAAUUGUGAAAUCUCCGGGCUUAACUCGGAAAGGUCAACUGAUACUGCGGGGCUAGAGUGCGGAAGGGGCAACUGGAAUUCUCGGUGUAGCGGUGAAAUGCGUAGAGAUCCGGAAGAACACCGGUGGCGAAGGCGGCCUGCUGGGCAGUAGCUGACGCUGAGGCGCGACAGCGUGGGGAGCAAACAGG
rnacentral:rRNA from 1 species